rnacentral:rRNA from 1 species
AGGACGAACGCUGGCGGCGUGCUUAACACAUGCAAGUCGAGCGGUGAUCCUCCUUCGGGAGGUGAUCAGCGGCGAACGGGUGAGUAACACGUGGGCAACCUGCCCCUCACACUGGGAUAACCUCGGGAACCGGGGCUAAUACCGGAUACGACCUCGAGCGGCAUCUCUUGAGGUGGAAAGCUCCGACGGUGAGGGAUGGGCCCGCGGCCUAUCAGCUUGUGGUGGGUAUGGCCUACAGGCGACGACGGGUA